rnacentral:rRNA from 1 species
AUUGAACGCUGGCGGCAGGCCUAACACAUGCAAGUCGAGCGGUAGCACAGAGAGCUUGCUCUCGGGUGACGAGCGGCGGACGGGUGAGUAAUGUCUGGGAAACUGCCUGAUGGAGGGGGAUAACUACUGGAAACGGUAGCUAAUACCGCAUAACGUCGCAAGACCAAAGUGGGGGACCUUCGGGCCUCAUGCCAUCAGAUGUGCCCAGAUGGGAUUAGCUAGUAGGUGGGGUAACGGCUUACCUAGGCGACGAUCCCUAGCUGGUCUGAGAGGAUGACCAGCCACACUGGAACUGAGACACGGUCCAGACUCCUACGGGAGGCAGCAGUGGGGAAUAUUGCACAAUGGGCGCAAGCCUGAUGCAGCCAUGCCGCGUGUGUGAAGAAGGCCUUCGGGUUGUAAAGCACUUUCAGCGGGGAGGAAGGCGGUGAGGUUAAUAACCUCAUCGAUUGACGUUACCCGCAGAAGAAGCACCGGCUAACUCCGUGCCAGCAGCCGCGGUAAUACGGAGGGUGCAAGCGUUAAUCGGAAUUACUGGGCGUAAAGCGCACGCAGGCGGUCUGUCAAGUCGGAUGUGAAAUCCCCGGGCUCAACCUGGGAACUGCAUUCGAAACUGGCAGGCUGGAGUCUUGUAGAGGGGGGUAGAAUUCCAGGUGUAGCGGUGAAAUGCGUAGAGAUCUGGAGGAAUACCGGUGGCGAAGGCGGCCCCCUGGACAAAGACUGACGCUCAGGUACGAAAGCGUGGGGAGCAAACAGGAUUAGAUACCCUGGUAGUCCACGCCGUAAACGAUGUCGAUUUGGAGGUUGUGCCCUUGAGGCGUGGCUUCCGGAGCUAACGCGUUAAAUCGACCGCCUGGGGAGUACGGCCGCAAGGUUAAAACUCAAAUGAAUUGACGGGGGCCCGCACAAGCGGUGGAGCAUGUGGUUUAAUUCGAUGCAACGCGAAGAACCUUACCUGGUCUUGACAUCCACAGAACUUUCCAGAGAUGGAUUGGUGCCUUCGGGAACCGUGAGACAGGUGCUGCAUGGCUGUCGUCAGCUCGUGUUGUGAAAUGUUGGGUUAAGUCCCGCAACGAGCGCAACCCUUAUCCUUUGUUGCCAGCGGUCCGGCCGGGAACUCAAAGGAGACUGCCAGUGAUAAACUGGAGGAAGGUGGGGAUGACGUCAAGUCAUCAUGGCCCUUACGGCCAGGGCUACACACGUGCUACAAUGGCAUAUACAAAGAGAAGCGACCUCGCGAGAGCAAGCGGACCUCAUAAAGUAUGUCGUAGUCCGGAUUGGAGUCUGCAACUCGACUCCAUGAAGUCGGAAUCGCUAGUAAUCGUAGAUCAGAAUGCUACGGUGAAUACGUUCCCGGGCCU